CUCACUCGCCACUCACUCUCCACCUCCAGCUGGUGUAUGGUGAGCGUUCUGGCGCAUAAUGGGGGGGGGGUGCUCCACAUUGGUGGGGGUUAGUGAGGCCCCCCCUUCCCUGUGAAGCGUUUUGAGUGUCGAGAAAAGCGCUAUAUAAAUGUAACGUGUUGUUGUAUUGUUGUUAUGUAUGUGUGUGUGUGUGUGUGUGUGU